GAACAUGGAGGAGGCGCACGGGUCGCGGGCUCCUGGAGGGCGGAGUUAACGCAGGGGAGGCGUCGGUCCUUGUCAUCAUGCUCGAUCCCGCUGGAUCGAGACGACGGCUGCAGCGGGGGAUGGCACUCGGCGAAGUAGGGAAGGCAGAGAAACGGGACUCCGGCGACAAGGUGCAGCGGCGGAGCUUCGAGCUCGGUUGGCAGUGGGCUUGCCGGCGUCGGGGAUGGUGCAGGAGAGGAGAGGGCCUGCGAGCGAGACGGGGGCGCUGUGGAGGGAGGAGGAGCUCGCGGCAGGAGGGAGGCGCCGCAGCGGCGUGGGAACGGGGUAGCAGAGGGGCGCGGCAGCGCUGGAGAGGUCAGGGCGGCGGGUAUGGUUAGGAUUGGGCACGGGCUCCUCCCUGGCUCGAAGUGGAAGGGAGGAAAGGGAGGCGAGGGGAGGAAGAGCGAGGGGAAUCGAUGGAGGUGGGGUUUUCCUGUGGGUUCUCCUGGCGGCGGGGUGGAAACGAGAGAAGGCUGGGGGUUUCGGGAGAGGGUUAGGGUUAGGUGGGGCGGCUGAGCCUAAAGGGCCAGCCUAGCUAGGAGGCUAAGGUGGCUAGCUGGGCUCUGCUCUCCCUCUAAAGAAAGAAAAGAAAAAAACAGAGAAAAGAAAGAAAAGAAAGAGAGGUUAAGGGAAGAAGUUGGACACGCGAAUAAUUUUCCGGGACUCACAAAAAUGUGCUUGUUCCGAGAAAAUAAGAAUGACCAUGAUUGCAAGAUUUAAAUUCAAAUGCAUUUGAAUUUAAUUCAACUCAUUUGAAAGGAGUAGGAAUCCGAAGUUUCCAAAAAUGUUGAACAUUUAGGAAGAGCCUCGAUAAAACGAUUAAAAAAUAUGAGGACAAGUCGGAGACCAAGAAUUGAGAUAACAAAGGCAUUGGGAUUAGUUUGCAAGUGUGUCAACGGUUAAAUCCAAAAGAAUGGAAUAUUUAAUAAUAGCUCCAUAAUUAUUAGGAGGAUAUGUUAUAAAGAUAAAUCACCAGGUGAGUUCCCUCAAUUUAAAUAGAUCAAAGAUCUAUGCAUUUUAUUUAGUGAGUUUUAAAACGGGUUGCAUGAUGACAUGAUGCAAAGAUGAAAUGCAACAGACGAAACAAAAACACACAACAAAACCGGGAAACCCUGGAAGGCAUCUAAAGCUCCGGUCUUGGGGCGUCACAACACUCCACCACUACGAGAGGAUCUCGUCCCGAGAUCUAGAAUGGCACCGGAGGGAAAAUGGAAGAGAAAAAGAAGAGGUAAAACUAAGUUGCUUCUUUGACAAACGAGUGAAACGAAAGAACCUUGAAAAGUUGAACAAAUUGAAAGAAAGAAUACAACGGAUAUAAAUGAAGUUGAAAGCACUCUGUUAGCAAAGAGGAACAAGGAAGAACAACUAUGGGAAGCACUCCGGUUGAGAGGGGGUGCAAGGCUUGAUAAGGCGAAAAGAACUUGAGCAAAAAGGACAGAACACCCCGGUUAAAUGGAUAAGCAAAAGAAAGAAGAAUGAUCUUGACAAAACAAAAUGAUGGUUUGAAAAGAGCAACAUCGCAAUGCCUCCGGAAGAGAGAAAUAGAAGAUAGAUCAUUGAGACAAAAGAAUGUAGAAGAAAAUGCCAACUUCUGCUACAAAAGAGCUUGAAAAGGUAUCCUUAGGAGAAGGGUCGAACGGAGUUUUUGGAAAACCAACAACGAAAAGGAUAAGCUUGAUAUGGUCUUAUGGAAUACAUCUCAAAUUAUGAGGUGACAACAUGCCACUCACGGGAAAAGAAUUGGAUUGGUAAGAACAAGGAGACGAGAAGCUAUCUCACCGGGAGGAUAAAAGAAGAACUUGGAUCAUUGAUAAAUACCAUAAGAGCGACAAUCCUUAAAGGAAAGCUUUAUGUGAAAUAUAGCCCAAGAUAACUCCAAUCAAGAGAUUGGUGGAUUUAAAAUACCUCAUUCUUGAUAACUUGUGAAUCACGAAGCACAAAGGGAAAUAUCAAGAAUGACAUAGCACCACCUCAAAAGAUAUGCGUGAAAGAAUUGCACUCCGGAUUGGAAGAUGAAGAAAAACUUGAGCUCCUUAGAAAAGAAUGUUGAUGAACGCUUCGAGAAGAAAUUGAAUCCUUGAUCAACCAUCAUGUAAAGCCUCCGUGGAGAACUCUGGUAAGAAAAGAAUGAACAACCAAAAUGAAGGAUAAAAGAAUAAGGUUGAAGCCUUGCAAUGAUUUAGAUGAAUCUUCGUGAUGAUAUAAUUGAAAUAACUUUGAGCUCCGGAAAGAAAGAUGGACAACUUGAACCGAGAAUUUGAUGAACCUCCGAAAUAAGGAAUUGAAUCAUUUGGAUGAAACAAAGAAUAAGAAUUACGUUGUGCGCAUCCUUCACCAAUUUAGAUUGAUGACAAGCCACAGAUUUGGCACACUACUAAUUCUCGUAGCAAGGAUUAAGAGAGAUAUAACAUAAACUUGGGAAGGUCUUCAACGAACCACCGGUAGGAUUGGAACAUCGAAUAAAUUGAUACGAUAACAAAGGAUGAGAAAUCUUGAAUGAACCACCAUAAGAAUUUGAAAUGAACGAAGUAAAGAUAAAGAAACACCGGGAAGAAUUAUAAAAAGAAUGAAGAUACUUGAGAGAAUUGAGCUCCAUGAGAACGAAGAGAUUACGAGCUGAUUAGAGAAUCCUUGAUUUAAGCAGCGGUAUGAUUUAGAGUAUGAGAGCUGAAAGCUAGAAUGAAUAGAUCUUAGAUGAUGGGCUCCGGAGAAUCAAACUGAAAUGACUCCUGAAUUGCUUCGGAUGGGUGAAAAGAAUUCCCACAAUGAAAACAAUUAUGAGAGGAAGACAUCAAGCUAGAACCACGAAUCUUGAAGAGAAUGGAUAAGAUUAAAGAGAAAAUCUUCUUCGGUCUUCAAAAUCCAAGAAUGAUGACGAGAAACACCACCAUGAAUUAUUUAGAUGAUCCAGAAUGAAGAAUGGAAAGGUUGAGCCAACGAUGCAAAGAAUUUGAAAGAUCUUGGAGAAAAACAUUUGACUGAUGACAAUUCAUUCUUACGUCAAACUUUGAAAGAAUUUGAGGAUAGCUCCGGGAGAAUAAGAAGAGUCAGGUAAGAUCCUGAGAAAAGACCUGUGGGUUAGGGCCCACUCAAGAGAAACACCGUUGAACGAUUUUAAAAGAGAGAUUACAUCGGUUGAAAUAGAUGGCUUGAAAGAGGUAACAUCCUCGCAAAAGCUGGAACGAAAGCAGAGUGGAAACACGAAUCUCCGAGAUAUCUUGAGCACUCCGGAACAAUAAAUAGCGAGAGGUGAAUGAUUAAGAAUUGCACCUGCAUGAGAAAGCAUUGAAACGAGGAAAGGAUAUGGCCAACAAAGCUUGACUUGAAACCACCGGAUAUGAAAAGAAUGAAGAAUGACGAACGAGUAGAGCAUCUUCAUGAGAAACACCGGGUAAAAACAUGAAGGAAAAAGAAUUUAGAGACUUCCAUCAAUAAAAUGGAUAGUGAUUAAGAAAUCUGAAUCCUUGAAGAAAAAGGGUGGGUGGGGGGGAAAACAAUGGCAACUUGGGGACGGAUGAAGCAAACACCGUUGAGAAGAACUAAUACUUGAUCUUGUGGUUGUUGAAAUGAUCGGAUCCACUUGAAGAGAAACACGCCGGUGAAAAUGAUUGACAUGACAAUCUCGAUUAUCAAGAAGGAUUGGUAUUCACAUCGGAGUAUGAGAACACCGUUUAGGAAAGGUAUGGAAUCAACACUUGACUUCGAAGUAACUCGAAUACCACAACUCAAAACAAAAACAAAGGGUUGGCUUGCAGAAUAAGCCGGAACAAACAUAUGAUAGAGAUUUCGUCCGAAGUUUUCGUGGUGGGGCCUACACAGGCUCGAUCGUACAGCACCAUCAUGUACAAGUCAGUGCACAUGACAUACGAAGCGUCCCCGAGUCGGCACAGCCAAGGACUCUUUAAGACACAACGAGACCAUAGUAAAACCAACCGUGAAUAGGCGAACCACUAGACGUCGAACCCCAAUUUCAUAUCAUACAUCUGUCGAAAAGAUAUCCUAAGAGCUACUUGAAUUCCCACUUAUGAACUCCCGAAAUUUUCCGGUUAUGCAAUCAGGUGUUGGGGAUACAGGGGAAGCAUAAUAUCUCACCCAAACUAGCAAAUCCUACAUCCAGCUGUAUCCAUCCUUCAACACAUAACCAAGAAACCUUCGGAAAUCAUCUACAUCAACCUUCGAAAAGCAUCCGUUAUACGAGUUAUGGCAAUACUCCCGAACUCCUGCCCCAGUACUGGGUGGCGUCGAGGAUUAUCUCACCAACAACUACAUAAAAGAGAUUUUCGAUGUCGAUGAAACUAAACUCAGGUAUUCCAGAACUGCAACAAUAAAAUUGUGAUGACAACACCUCGGAGCUCAACUCCCCGGGACACUGCCACAACCCCUAAAUGACAGGAGGCACCAAGAACAAUGUUCUCAUCACAAAACCAUCGGACCGAUUCCAAGAUACCCGCGUGAUCCUAAUUUUUUUUAGUGAAAUUUGAGAAGAGAAGAGUCAAAACUCUAUGUCAGGAUGCCUCACCAGAGCGACGAAGGGACUGAGGAGUAAAAAGAAGUCCUAACUCUCCGAUAUAUAUAAUUUCUAAAUGACUCAAAACAUUUCUAGACUCAAUAACGCCAGCGAUUCGAUCAAGCAGGGGGCUCCUAAGGUCGGGGAAGGCUCUGAUUACCAACUUGUAACGCCCUCGAUGCGGCUAUAUCUCUCACGUGUCGAAGCACGACUUAGAGGCAUAACCGCAUUGAAAGCCUUGUCGCAAGUGAGGUAAUCUUCACACAACCCAUGUAACACAAUAAGGAAAAGAGAUACAUAGUUGGCUUACAAUCGCCACUUCACAUGAUGCAUGAUUAAAGCAUUACAUCAUCCAAAUACAAUCAAGGUCCGAGUACAGAACCAAAAUAAAAGAAGACUACCCCAAAUGCUACACAGAUCCCCGAUCGACCCCAACUGGGCUCCACUACUGAUCAACUAGAACAAAACGACACAAAGGACAAGAUCUUCAAUGAGCUCCUCCUUGAGCUUGGUUGCGGCACCUGCUCGGUAACAUCGGCACCUGCAAACUAGUUUUGGAAGUAUCUGUGACUCACGGGGACUCAGCAAUCUCACACCCUCGCGAUCAAGACUAUUUAAUCUUAUAUGUAAGGUAAAAGGUAUGAGGUGGAGCUGCAGCAAGCGACUAGCAUAUAUGGUGGCUAACAUAUGCAAAAGAGAGCGAGAAGAGAAGGCAAAGCACGGUCGAACAACUAUGAUCAAGAAGUGAUCCUAGAACAACCUACGUCAAGCAUUACUCCAACACCGUGUUCACUUCCCGGACUCCACCGAGAAGAGACCAUCACGGUAACACACGCGGUUGGUGCAUUUUAAUUAAGGUCAACUUCAAGUUUUCUACAACCGGACAUUAACAAAUUCCCAUCUGCCCAUAACCGCGGGCACGGCUUUCAAAAGUUCAAAUCCCUGCAGGGGUGUCCCAACUUAGCCCAUCACAAGCUCUCACGGUCAACGAAGGAUAUUCCUUCUAGCGGGAAGACCCGACCAGACUCGGAAUCCCGGUUACAAGACAUUUCGACAAUGGUAAAACAAGACCAGCAAAGCCACCCAGAUGUGCCGACAAAUCCCGAUAGGAGCUGCACAUAUCUUGUUCUCAAGGCACACCGGAUGAGCCAGACAUCGGGUAAGCCAGCCCAGAGUUGCCCCUGGUAGCCUCGGACAUCGCUCAGUUGGACCAACACUUAGAGAAGCACUGGCCCGGGGGGGUUAAAAUAAGAUGACCCUUGAGCCGGCCGACUCAAGGGAAAGAAAAGGCUAGGUGGCAAAUUGUAAAACCAAUGUUGGGCCUUCCUGGAGGAGUUUUAUUCAAGGCGAACUGUCAAGGGGUUCCCAUUAUAACCCAACCGUGUAAGGAACGCAAAAUCCGGGAACAUAACACCGAUAUGACAGAAACUAGGGCGGCAAGAGUGGAACAAAACACCAAGCAUAAGGCCGAGCCUUCCACCCUUUACCAAGUAUAUAGAUGCAUUAAUUAAAUAAGAGAUAUUGUGAUAUCCCAACAAGUAAACAUGUUCAUACAAGGAACAACAUCUCCAUGUUCCAACAAGGAACAAACUUCAAUCUUCACCUGCAACUAACAACGCUAUAAGAGGGGCUGAGCAAAGCGGUAACAUAGCCAAACAACGGUUUGCUAGGACAAGGUGGGUUAGAGGCUUGGUUUAACAAUAUGGGAGGCAUGAUAAGCAAGUGGUAGGUAUCGCAGCAUAGGCAUAGCAAAAGAGCAAGCAACUAGCAAGCAAAGAUAGAAGUGAUUUCGAGGGUAUGGUCAUCUUGCCUGAGAUCCCGCAAGGAAGAAGAACGAGUCCAUGAAGAAGACAAACAGACGUAGUCGAACGGAUCCUCACAACUCCAGAACGAAACCGAAGCUAACGCGAGAAGCAACCCGAAAAGAAGCAAACAACAUAGUAAACAACCAUCACAUAACAUGGCAUGAUGCGCAAACAAGUAUGAUGCAUGUCCGGUUUAAAUAUGCAUGGCAUGGCAAAGUGCACAAACAAUACUACAAAUUAAGUGGAUCUCAAUAUGCAAUGAGUUGCAUAUUGACGGAACACCAUAUGACUUAUUUAGUUCUCUCUCGGUUAUGUAUCCAACAAUAUUAAAUGUUAUUAAGCAUGGCAAGAGGUGAAGCAUAAAAGAAACUAUCUAACUAAGCAAUUUAAAUGGGGCCGGAUAUAACAAACAAGAAAUCCGGUAAAUCCCCAUAUGCAUUAGCAAUUUAAUGCAACAAAAAUUUAAACAUUUUAAUUGUUGUUACUAUGAUGCGGAUGAAAUGGGCAUGUUUUAUGCAAGUUUUAAAGAAAAUUUUGAUAAGAGCAUUAUAUGGAGCAUAUGUCAUCGUGGCGGAAAAAAAGGAUGCCACGGCGACGAUAACAGAAACGGUAUCACGGCAACGUUCUGGUUCCAGAAACUCGAUUGAGAAGCCGGUGGAAAAGAACAAGUGUGACGGGAGUGUGUCAUGCGAAGAACUGUGGGGUGCUCCCGGUUACCGGGUUCCCACGUGUCGACGGCAUGGCAACGAGGAGGAACAACUAAGGUUCACGAGCGAAUACAACAACCAACCAUGCAUCUCAUACAACACAAGCAUUCGGUCCACGAGCAUCGUCUCGGGGUUAUACCUUCGAAGCGUGCAAGCGGGAUAGUUCUUGUUCAGUGCAAAGUACAUGAAGUAGACGUUCUCACGACGGCGGUAGUGGAAGUAAUCGUUCUCGCAACGGCGGUAGUGGAAGUAGUCGUUCUCGCACGGCGGUAGUGGUACAUGUUUAUCGGUAGUCGAACAUGACGAUCCGGAGAGGGUACUUGGCAACAUGCACGUCGCCGGUAGUUGUACACAAUCGUUGUCAGACUUGACGGGUUCGAGGGCUCCAGCCAUCAUGGUACUUGGCGCACCACCGUGUAGUCAUACCUUUAAAGAGUAACUUGGCCAUCCGAAGGUAUACUUGGAAAACAACGGUCGUCGUGGUACUCAGCGGUCCACGAAAUCAUUCUCGUAGGUCUUGACAUUUCGUUCGGUACUCAUUCGGGCAACCGUGUGAUCUUGUUGGUGAUGUACUUGGCGAAACUCCACGGAGACGGUCUUGGCAGGCAACGAGCAGCGACGCGGUGCACCGACGCAGCAACGCAGGCGGGUGCUCGAGCAGGACUUGGCACCGGUCGUCUUCCUCACGUUCUCCCACGACAAAGGCAGGGGCGAAAGGAUAGGCACGGGCAGGAGGAAGUCGACGCCGGCGCUGGUCGGCGCUACGGCGGCGUCCUGCUUGUCUUGGAUGGCGGCAACGCGCAGGAGAAGGCGGAGGGCAGCAGCGGGUAACGGCGGCCAUGGGAGGCGUCCUUGGUGCUCCCGUGGCGACGCGGUGGGGCGGGCAAGCUCGACCCUCGCGCCCAUGGCGGCAAGGAGGAAGAACAUGGAGGAGGCGCACGGGUCGCGGGCUCCUGGAGGGCGGAGUUAGCGCAGGGGAGGCGUCGGUCCUUGUCAUCAUGCUCGAUCCCGCUGGAUCGAGACGACGGCUGCAGCGGGGGAUGGCACUCGGCGAAGUAGGGAAGGCAGAGAAACGGGACUCCGGCGACAAGGUGCAGCGGCGGAGCCUCGAGCUCGGUUGGCAGUGGGCUUGCCGGCGUCAGGGAUGGUGCAGGAGAGGAGAGGGCCUGCGAGCGAGACGGGGGCGCUGCGGAGGGAGGAGGAGCUCGCGGCAGGAGGGAGGCGCCGCAGCGGCGCGGGAACGGGGUAGCAGAGGGGCGCGGCAGCGCUGGAGAGGUCAGGGCGGCGGGUCUGGUUAGGAUUGGGCACGGGCUCCUCCCUGGCUCGAAGUGGAAGGGAGGAAAGGGAGGCGAGGGGAGGAAGAGCGAGGGGAAUAGAUGAAGGUGGGGUUUUCC
rnacentral:lncRNA from 1 species